GCAUUAUUCUACUUGUUCUUAUAUUAUUUCAUAACACGUUAUCAGCACGAGACUCUACCGUCUCAAGAAACACUUUGAGAAGAUUAAGGAGAAAUUUGCCCCCACGAAUUUCGCUAAUUCCGGGCAUUAUCCGGGUCACGCUUCAAGAGAUAAGUAUCGAUUUUAUGUUCGAUUAAAAUAGAUAAUAUGUGUUGUUUCCUUGUCUGCAGCUUUCCAUCAAAGACACACAACUUGUUCAUAUUUGGGGUCAUUAAACUCUGGGAGCAAGCAUUAGAAAUAUGGGUUUGUAGGACUUAGUAAUU
rnacentral:lncRNA from 1 species